UGUGCCAGAUGGAAGGCACAGGUUAGGGC
rnacentral:piRNA from 1 species